UCCCAGCUACUCAGAGGCUGAGGCGGAAGGAUCACUCGACCCUGGGGAGCUGGAGGAGCUGCAAGUGAGUUGUGAUUGGGCCGCUGCACUCCAGCCUGGGUGAUAGGGCGAGACCCUGUCUUGAAAAUAAAUGAUUUAUUCUUAGACACUAUAGGCUGCAGCCCUCCCUCCUCACAGCCUGGGCGCAGGCACCUUCUGGCCGCAUGCUGUGUUUGCUUUCAGAAAGGUAGAAGGAGGGGAGCGCAGAGGAAUUGAGGUAACUGCUAAAGUUACAGAAGAAAUCAAUCUGUAAUCUGUAAAUGCCAGUCGUGGCUUUAGGAAGGACUGGUGAAAGCAUGAUGAAGUGUAGGAACAAGAACUGCUAAUGACUUAAUGAGUAAAGGCAGCUUCGGUCAUACUGGACUGUGGGGUCUCAGAUCUGGGCCAUGGCUCUGGUGUUGUCCCUGUCUUCCUGAGUAGCCUCCAGGAAAGUCAGCACGUCUCUCAACCAACUAUAAACUUUACCUAUGGAAAAAUGAAGUGUUGGGCCAUUAGAUGAUCUCUUAGUGCUCACCUAUUUUGAGACUUCAGUGAGAUAAUAUUUUUAAAGUGCUCCAUUUAGUGCCUGACACCUGAUUCUAAUAACAAAUACUUUUAUAGCCUAUAUUAUGUGCCAAGUGUUCUAAUCAUUAUAUGCAUGUUAGUUGAAUAUACUAUUAUUGUCUCUAUUUUAGAAGAAAGGAAGCUGAGUCACAGAAAGGCUGGUUAACCUGCUCAAGGUUAUGCACCUAGUAAGAGACAUAUAAAGCUCUCAGUAAGCCGUAGUUGUUGACACUUUCUGAAGCUGGCAGUUUUGGUCGUUGAUGUGCUGCUUUACGCUUUUCUUUUUUCUCUGUAGGUGUCAUAGAGACGUCAGAUCGACUGGACCGUGAAUCGACCUCCCAUUAUUGGCUAACAGUCUUUGCAACCGAUCAGGGUGUCGUGCCUCUUUCAUCGUUCAUAGAGAUCUACAUAGAGGUUGAGGAUGUCAAUGACAAUGCACCACAGACAUCAGAGCCUGUUUAUUACCCAGAAAUCAUGGAAAAUUCUCCUAAAGAUGUAUCUGUGGUCCAGAUCGAGGCAUUUGAUCCAGAUUCGAGCUCUAAUGACAAGCUCAUGUACAAAAUUACAAGUGGAAAUCCACAAGGAUUCUUUUCAAUACAUCCUAAAACAGGUAUGUGUUAAUACUGCUAUAGGAAAUGUUUAUGCUUAUGCUUUUCUGUUAGGGGGAAAAGUAAGAAUUUUCCUGAGGCAAAAAGUGCCACAACAUUAUAACCAAAGACUAACAGGGGUUCUGGGAGUUAACGAGCCAGGAACCAUGGACAGAAACAAAUAUGUACCCCUCCCCACAACACACGUAUAUGUCAUAUCUCAGGUGGCAAUUCAAGAGUUCUUCCUGGGACCCCAGAAAUGAUGAUGUGUCUGCUAUGGUGUUAUGUCUUGUUGUAGAAACAUGAUUAAUAUGGCAUUGCCUCUCCCUUUUAAAUCUCUCUGCAAGUUGGUUAGUAGACUGUUAGAUCUCUUCUACAUUGGGAAGUAAUUGUUUCUCAUUAGAAGAUAAAUUUUCCUAGAUUUUGAGGUUUUCCUACUUUUUCUGUGUUGAUGUGUCCUGUUAAGUUUUCAGAGCUCCCAAUUUCAGCUCAAACAGUUGGCUCUAAGUAUACUUAGCAGGUCUUUAUCAUCUCCCCCAUUUUGUUUAUUCU
rnacentral:lncRNA from 10 species